AUACACUGUCAACACAGUACUGGUCCGUGCACACUUCUCAACCUCCUGGAGCAUACCCCACCGCCACACUGCAGAGGCCGCCACCUCUGCCCCAAUGCCCCCCACAGUUCACCUGGUCCUCACACAAGCCCUGCCCCACAGAGGCAAACACCCUUGCCUGCCUGUAGAGGAUCAAGGCACUCAGUCAAUGCAGGCUGAAUAGCAGCCUGAGGGCUUGCUGUUAGGUGGGGCCAGUCCCUAGGGUGGGUUGCCUGCCCUGGCUGAACUGGAUUAAAUUUGUGCUCUAGUGGGUGUGGCAGACUCCUGGGCUAACAGCCUAAGGGACACACCUCAAUGGCCCCCACCGGUGUCCGGUGUCCAGUGUCUGUAUCAGCAAGCCUGGACCAGCUCAGAACAACGGCCCCCACCAAUGUCUCAGUCUCAGGAGAGGAUCGUCCUCUCACCAAGAUGCUCCCAGAGCCCAUCAGGCUGUCAGCCUCAGCACCCCCCCCUCCAACCCACCUAUGGCUUCAAGUUGCAUCUGGACAACACGUGAUGCUGGAAUAGAAUUUUACAACCAGACACAAAGAAGAAGAGAAAAGUCAAGCGCUUAGUGAGAAUCAGUUGCAGGAAGUAAAGAGUGGAAUCGAGAGAUAGCUAGGUAAGUGAUUAUAAAAAUUAUUUCGAGAGAUGCUGGUGACUUGGACAAAGGUGCUAGCAGUGAAGGGGGUGAAAAGUUGUUAUGUUCUAUUAUGUUGUGAAAGAAGUGCCAACAAGAUGCCCUGGUUGAUUGGAACCAAGGUGAGAGAUAAUGAAAGGCAUCAAGAGUGAUUCACAACUUUUGUCCUGAAAAAUUGGAAAAAUGAGUUUUGCAAUUUGAUGAUAUGGGCAAAGCUGGAGGAGAACCCGAAUUGGAGGUAAUGUUGCAGAGUUUAGGCAUUUCUUUUGUUUUCAAGGAGAUUAGCCCUGAGCUAACUACUGCCAACCCUCCUCUUUUUUUGCUGAGGAAGGCUGGCCCUGAGCUAACAUCCGUGCCCAUCUUCGUCUGCUUUAUACUUGGGACGCCUACCACAGCAUGGUGUGCGAAGCAGUGUCAUGUCUGCAACUGGGAUCCGAACCGGUGAACCCCGGGCCGCGGAGAAGAAGAACCUGCGAACUUAAUUGCUGCACCACCGGGCCUGCCCCAGGCAUUUCUUUUAAAGAUUAUUUUUGAGAAGCUAAUAGAAUGUCAAAAUGUGGUUAUCAAAGUUGCAUUGUGAUGUUUGUGCUUCUAGUUCAGAGAUGUGUGCCUUAGAUAAAAAACGGACAGUUGUCUACAUAGGGAUGGUAUUUAAAACUUGGGAUAGACCACCAAAAAAGUUAGUUGUUAUGGGUUAAAUAUGUGCAUUCCCCCAAAAUUCACAUGAUAAAAUCCUACCCCCUAAUGUGAUAGUAUUAGGAGGGGUAGCCUUUGGAAGGUUUUUAGGUCACGGGAGCAGGGCCCUUAUAAAUAGGAUUAAUGCUCUUAUAAAAUGGACCCCAGAGAGCUUUCUCCCCUUUUUUCUGCUGUGUGAGGGUACACGGAGAAGUUGGCAGUCUGCACCUGGAAGAGGGCCCUUCC
ensembl:lncRNA